rnacentral:snRNA from 1 species
GUUACUUCUCGGCCUUUUGGCUAAGAUCAAAGUGUAGUAUCUGUCUUAUCAGCUUAAUAUCUGAUACGGGUUCAAAUGAACCCCAGAAUAUUAAACUGAUUUUUGGAAUUCGGUGGGAUGUCAAUGCUUGCAUUGAUCCUGCCACGGGCCGUAUUGCAGUACCUCCCGGCUCGGCUCACCCUUC